CUGAAACCCACUCCCACCCAUUUCAGUCAUUAAAGAUCUUAAGUAGUUUAGACACACGCCUUUGCUCAAGGAAAUUCACAGAAACCGCCACUGUUACACAUCUUAUCGAAUGACUCACUGAUUAAUCCUUUUCCUCAUCCCUUCCUCCCCUUCCCAUCUGCCCUAAGAACAAAGAGCUUGUAAACCAAUAAAUUGGGUGGAGCCCAGAGCUCUGGGCCGUGAGCAAGCCUCCAACGCUCUGGUCCCCUGGACCUGCCUUUUAAACGCUUGUUCUGUCUCUUUCUAACUCCUUUGUCUCCGCCGGACUCGGGGUAUCCGCUGGGUGGUGUGGGGCUGGUUUCCCCAACAGCUUUCUCUCCACCCAGCUUCAUAGAUGACACCCUGCCUGCUAGGCCAGAUGUUCUCCGGCCAAGAACACUAUUAUAGCUGCCUGGCUUCUCCCUGAGCAGCGUCAGGUGUGAGGAGUGCGCAUGGCAGCUGCCCAGUGACAGAUGGAAUCUCCCUCUCUCACCCAGGCUGGAGUGCAAUGGCACAAUCAGCUCACUGCAACCUCCACCUCCCGGGUUCAAGUGAUUCUUCUGCCUCAGCCUCCCGAGUAGCUGGGACUACAGCCUUCAUUUCAGUCAACAACCACAUAACAGAUCAUCAAAAUACAUAAAGCAAAAACUGACAGAACUAAAGUUAAAUAUACAUAUCUACAAUUAUGUAGAGAAUAACAAACAAAAAAAUAGAACAAAAAUUUCCAAGGAGCUUGGCUUUUUAUCCCUAGUGCUCUAAGCCAGUGGUUUUUCCCAUCAUGCUCUGAGAAGCUCUAAGGACUCCAUACGGAUGCAGUGGGGAUGAUGUAAGGGUCAGAAGGAGAACAAGGAGUCAGCAGAGCACUAAGGCUAACGUUCAAAAUGUUUAUUAACUAAUGUGCUACAUGGGAAAAAAAAUCCCUUAUUGUCAUUUAAAUUUGCAUUCUUUGGUCACUAAUUAGGUUUGCCUUUUUCAAACUUAUUAGUCAAAUACCUUUCUGCUUUUUGAAUAUUUCCAUGUUCCACAGGUACCCUCAAAGUUUUGAUUUUAUCUUCUUCCCCUUGUAAAUCUGCUUCUUUUCCAGUGUUCCACGCCUUGGUCAAUGGUACCACCAGCCAGCGAGGUUCCCAAGCCAAGAACUUCGGAAGCAUCCGUGAUUCUUCAUCUUCCACAUCCACUUUAUCACCGGAAGCACGCAUUCAACUUUCUAAACAUCCCUCAGACUGACCCACAUCUUUCUAUCCACUUUUCACAUCUUGCUUGAAUGACUUCCCCAGGCCCAGCCAGUCUCCCGCCUCCAGCUCCGCCCCCUUCUGACUCCCUUUAUGUGGUACAAUCAGAGAGCCCUUCCCAAAGCACAAAUCUGCUUUCACUGCUUUGCUUCAAGCCCUUUCGUGGCUCCUAUUUCCAGCUGGAUGAGGUCCAAGCCUCUUAACGUGCUGUACGUGUACAUGCCUGACCCCCGCUACUUGACCAGCCAAGUUUCUUCAUAGCGCUGUGUCUUUGUUCCUCCUGCCUAGAAUGUCCUUCCCCUUUUCUCUCGCUUCAUGGUGUGCCAAACUCCUAUCCUGUGAGAUCCAGCUUACACGUCAGCUUCCCCGUGAUGCUUUUCCUAACUCCCUAUUCAGCCAGUGAAGUGCUCCCUGCGUUCCCAUGUGGCUUGUAUCUCUGUAAAAGCUCCACAGAGCUGUUUUAAUUUAUCCGUUAAUGUACAUGUCUUCCCCACUAGACUUUUGCUCCUUAAAGUAUCUCCUUCAUCUCUGCUUUGCAUAACCUAACAGAGUUCAACACAUAGGAGUGUCUUAAUAAAUGCUGAAUAAAAUAAUUAAUAAACAAAUGAAACAAUACAGCAAACUGUUGAUUCUCCAAAAUGUUUUCUUGAAGAAAAUGUGUUCUUCCUUUCUGAGCCCAAUUCUAUGACUUCUCAUUUCAUCCAAGAUCUUGAUCCAUCAGGUACCAAGGUAGACUUUAGGUAUACAACACUGGACAUUAAAAACACUAUAAAGCUACAAUAAUUAAAAUAGAAUUCAACUUGACACAAAGUAGUCUGUGAAACAGUAGAGCUCCAAACCAGACCUAAAUAGUGACAAAAUUAGGUACAUAACAAUAGCCAACAUAUAUGUGGCAUUUAGUCAUGUUUCAGGCAUGCUUCAAAGUGCUCUAGAUACAUUAUUUCAUUCAAUUCUCACGACCAUCGUGUGAGUAGACACUAUUAAAACCAUUUUACAGAUAAGCAAACUGAGGCACAGAGGGGUUAAGAAAAACUUGCCCAAGAUCACCAAUCCAGCAGUUGUUGAAGUUAGGAUUUAAAACCAGGCAGGCUGGUUCCAGAAUUCAUGCAUUUAACCUUUCUCCUAUGACAUAGAUGGUAUCAUGCAUUAUUGACUAAAGAAAAGGUUAUUUGGUAAGCAACAGAAAAAGGAAAGGAAAUCACAGAUUCACUAUAUACUCUGUCCUGAAAUAAAAUUCAGAUGUUUUAGAGUUAAACAUUUAAAAAAAAGAAAAUAUGAGUAAGUAUUAACUUGAUAUUGGAAAAGAG
rnacentral:lncRNA from 10 species